rnacentral:siRNA from 1 species
UACUCGCCGGCUUUAGUCUCUGGA